rnacentral:lncRNA from 1 species
GUCAUGGGGGAGGUGGUGGCGCUUGGUGGCCACUGGCGGCCGAGGUAGAGGCAGUGGCGCUUGAGUUGGUCGGGGGCAGCGGCAGAUUUGAGGCUUAAGCAACUUCUUCCGGGGAAGAGUGCCAGUGCAGCCACUGUUACAAUUCAAGAUCUUGAUCUAUAUCCAUAGAUUGGAAUAUUGGUGGGCCAGCAAUCCUCAGACGCCUCACUUAGGACAAAUGAGGAAACUGAGGCUUGGUGAAGUUACGAAACUUGUCCAAAAUCACACAACUUGUAAAGGGCACAGCCAAGAUUCAGAGCCAGGCUGUAAAAAUUAAAAUGAACAAAUUACGGCAAAGUUUUAGGAGAAAGAAGGAUGUUUAUGUUCCAGAGGCCAGUCGUCCACAUCAGUGGCAGACAGAUGAAGAAGGCGUUCGCACCGGAAAAUGUAGCUUCCCGGUUAAGCCCUAACUUUUCCUUCUUUCUACAGUACCUUGGCCAUGUAGAAGUUGAUGAAUCAAGAGGAAUGCACAUCUGUGAAGAUGCUGUAAAAAGAUUGAAAGCUACUGGAAAGAAAGCAGUUAAAGCAG